rnacentral:rRNA from 1 species
UGAGGAAUAUUGGUCAAUGGACGCAAGUUUGAACCAGCCAAGUAGCGUGCAGGAUGACGGCCCUAUGGGUUGUAAACUGCUUUUAUAUGGGGAUAAAGUGGGGAACGUGUUCCCUUUUGCAGGUACCAUAUGAAUAAGGACCGGCUAAUUCCGUGCCAGCAGCCGCGGUAAUACGGAAGGUUCGGGCGUUAUCCGGAUUUAUUGGGUUUAAAGGGAGCGUAGGCCGUUUGGUAAGCGUGUUGUGAAAUGUAGGAGCUCAACUUCUAGAUUGCAGCGCGAACUGUCAGACUUGAGUGCGCACAACGUAGGCGGAAUUCAUGGUGUAGCGGUGAAAUGCUUAGAUAUCAUGAAGAACUCCGAUUGCGAAGGCAGCUUACGGGAGCGCAACUGACGCUGAAGCUCGAAGGUGCGGGUAUCGAACAGG